UGGUUUUUUUUUUUCGUUUUC
rnacentral:piRNA from 1 species